UUGAAAGAAACUGUGUCAAAUUUACAGUUUGUUUCAAAUUUUAUCCUCAUCCAACGAAGGAGCUCCCACGAAGGAGCGUGCAUUUCCCAACGGCUCUCAAACUGCAGCGAUCCAGAGAAUGGUUGUUAUUUGUUAUGUUACCGUUGAAAAAAAGCAGAUUUACCGUUCGAAAAAAAGCAGAUUCUACAUCUUUUAAAUGGGCGGAUUAUUUGAGAAGUGGCGAUUUUUUAAUGGGGCAUGAAGGCAGGCAGCAGCAGCAAGGAGAACUAUAAAUUCGACCCAGUGAUUAAUUGGAGAUGCGGCCAGAAAAUACUCAGGUAUAGUAUAAACACCAGCACUGAUAAGGAGGAGGAGAAAAAUAAGCACUGGCAAUGAUAAGGAAGAGGAGGAGGAAAAAUGAAGCAGAAUUACACAUCACAACUAUCAGGAAUUACACCAGGUACCAACAUUUGAAUUUGUAUAGUAAAAGCACUACUUAGAUUGAGUACUGAAAUUUCCUUCCACAAUCAUUUUUUAAUGCUUUC